rnacentral:rRNA from 1 species
AUUGAACGCUGGCGGCAGGCCUAACACAUGCAAGUCGAGCGGAUGAAGGGAGCUUGCUCCUGGAUUCAGCGGCGGACGGGUGAGUAAUGCCUAGGAAUCUGCCUGGUAGUGGGGGAUAACGUCCGGAAACGGGCGCUAAUACCGCAUACGUCCUGAGGGAGAAAGUGUGGGAUCUUCGGACCUCACGCUAUCAGAUGAGCCUAGGUCGGAUUAGCUAGUUGGUGGGGUAAAGGCAUACCAAGGCGACGAUCCGUAACUGGUCUGAGAGGAUGAUCAGUCACACUGGAACUGAGACACGGUCCAGACUCCUACGGGAAGCAGCAGUGGGGAAUAUUAGACAAUGGGCGAAAGCCUGAUCCAGCCAUGCCGCGUGUGUGAAGAAGGUCUUCGGAUUGUAAAGCACUUUAAGUUGGGAGGAAGGGCAGUAAGUUAAUACCUUGCUGUUUUGACGUUACCAACAGAAUAAGCACCGGCUAACUUCGUG